GGCAGCAGUGGGGAAUAUUGCACAAUGGGGGGAAACCCUGAUGCAGCCAUGCCGCGUGUGUGAAGAAGGCCUUCGGGUUGUAAAGCACUUUCAGUAGGGAGGAAGGUAGUGUAGUUAACACCUGCACUAUUUGACGUUACCUACAGAAGAAGCACCGGCUAACUCCGUGCCAGCAGCCGCGGUAAUACGGAGGGUGCGAGCGUUAAUCGGAAUUACUGGGCGUAAAGCGCAUGCAGGCGGCCUGUUAAGUCAGAUGUGAAAGCCCGGGGCUUAACCUCGGAAUUGCAUUUGAAACUGGCAGGCUAGAGUCUUGUAGAGGGGGGUAGAAUUUCAGGUGUAGCGGUGAAAUGCGUAGAGAUCUGAAGGAAUACCAGUGGCGAAGGCCGGCCCCCUGGACAAAGACUGACGCUCAGAUGCGAAAGCGUGGGGAGCAAACAGGAUUAGAUACCCCUGGUAG
rnacentral:rRNA from 1 species